GUCUACGGCCAUACCACCCUGAACGCGCCCCAUCUCGUCUGAUCUCGGAAGCGAAGCAGGGUCAGGCCUGGUUAGUACUUGGAUGGGAGACAAACUCAUGGUGGCCAGAGGGA
rnacentral:rRNA from 1 species